CUGCUUCUACUUUCUGUAUGGAGCUGGGAGCGUCUGCCUGUUGGACGCCCGAAGAGCGUCAGGUUUGAUCCUUGGUAUGCAGAUGAACAUGACGAAUUACGGCGCCCCACGUGGGCUUACAAGUGGGAUAUCGUUUCCGAGAUGACGAACGAUGUCAAUCUCAUGUACCAAAAGUACAUUGCCGAGUUGGACACGAUUACGCCUGAGCAGGUAAGGAGGUCAUUACUUUAG
rnacentral:rRNA from 1 species